CAUCCACCAGAAUCUCAUGUCCCAAGUCACUGUGGAUGCCAGGCUGCACAGUGACAUUGUGAGACUGGCUGAGGAACACCCUGCAGACGUGGCGCUGACCCUCCUGCACUGUGCCCCAACGUGUGACAGAGCUGCUGCAAUGAUGUGGAGAGCCAUAGGCUCAUCACAACCAACAAUGGAGAAGGUGCUGGCAACACUGCUCUGUGUGAUGGAGGAUUGGCCUGUGCACAGCACCUGCACCUCCGAUGGGGACAACAAGGACGUUUUUGCCCUGGCUGCAACUCUGGUGAUCUGGGUCAUUGUGCCUAAAUGCCAUGAGGCCAUGAUCCUUCAUUCCUCCCGCCUGUUUGUGGCUCUGCUCUUCCAUGUUGUCAUCACCACACAGCAGCAGAUGCCACCAGAGGAAGUUGAAAACUUCUGGAGAGCGUGCCAGGAGGAACACCGCCUUCCCAGCAAG